rnacentral:rRNA from 1 species
UACGAAGGGGGCUAGCGUUGCUCGGAAUCACUGGGCGUAAAGCGCACGUAGGCGGCUUGUUAAGUCAGGGGUGAAAUCCUGGAGCUCAACUCCAGAACUGCCUUUGAUACUGGCGAGCUUGAGUCCGGGAGAGGUGAGUGGAACUGCGAGUGUAGAGGUGAAAUUCGUAGAUAUUAGGAAGAACACCAGUGGCGAAGGCGGCUCACUGGUCCGGUACUGACGCUGAGGUGCGAAAGCGUGGGGAGCAAACAGG